rfam:Drosophila persimilis strain MSH-3 cont1.023156, whole genome shotgun sequence.
CGGCGAUCGGACCCUUUCGAGUGUGGAGAGCAUGGGAGUUGGCGGACAUAUGAGUGUUCCACCAUGAACCUCGUCCAGGCCACUCUCAUCUCGUCCGCCCGCUCGAGAGGUCGCGAUCGUC